rnacentral:misc_RNA from 1 species
AGAGAGAGAGAGAGAGAGAGAGAGAGAGAGAGAGAGAGAGAGCGAGAAACAAGAAAGAGGAGGCUAGGUUGUCGGUAGUAAAGUUUGGAUAUCGGCUGUGAAGAGGGUUCGGUUGGCAUGUGCAUACAUGCUUUAUGAAUUAAAUACAAACGCGAAAAAACAGGUGACGAAGAAAAAGAAAACGAAAGUUCGCUCGUGCUCGUUUCGUUUGGAACGAGAGUGUGACAGUGGUGUUAUGUUGAUAAGAAAACGAUAGUAAUAACAAUAAAAAUAAUAGUAACAAUAAACUGUCAGGCAGUAUGUCAAAGUAAUAGGUACGGCCGAAUAAUAUUACGGUGACUUCGCGAGGGGCGCGGCGAGGAGGGCGCGGGUGAAAAACCUUCCGCGUGUGCGUGUCAUUGGUGUUGUGCAGUUUCUGAUACUUAUGGUUGGCGUUGUUUGCGUUGAAACUCGUGUGAUUUAAUUUCAUUGCGAACUUCACAUUCCAAGGAAGGAAAGGAAGGAAGGGCUCACCAACCUGAAGUAGGCAGAAGGAAAAUUACCUCUGCGGUGUUUACUGCGCGCGACAAAGUAUACGAGGUUGUCGUUGUACCCGCGAUUUUGGCCCGAUGAACUUUCCAUCGGCAAGGAUCGCUUUCGAAGAAAAAAGGAAUGGCUAGCCUCUCGGUAGCCCCAUCAAGCAAGAACAGCUCCCGAAGCACUUCGCCAAGUCGAAGCACUACUCAAGCACAGCGUCACCAUCUUCCGGUCACCCUGGAUCCUGUUACAAAGUCUCGAAAUGUCGCUGCACAUCAUUCGGGAGAAGGAAGCACAGGCAGUGGCAGUAGUGGCGGUGGUGGAGGCAUGAAAGGCAGCAGCCGGCAGAGGUCACCCGGUGCGGUUGCACGGUCGGGAGACGGUACCGAUGAUCCUGGGACAACUGGAACCAUAGCUGAUCUAGAAGAUUUUGUAUCGAAUAUUAAUCCGCCAACAGACGACGAAGGGGAGGCCUACCAUGCCACACAGUCCUUCCUUUCAAACGGAUCGUCGGAGUUAAUCGGCGAUGAUGUUGACUCUAACGGCGCCCGUGGCCGUCAAGCCAUGGAGCAUUUGCAAAACAAAAUUGUAAGAACCAGAGAGUUAAUACGAAUAGAACAAACGACUCGAGACGACAAUGUAAACGAGUAUUUAAAAUUAGCUGCCAAUGCUGACAAGCAGCAGCUGACGAGAAUCAAGGCUGUAUUUGAGAAGAAAAAUCAAAAAUCGGCGCAUAGUAUAUCGCAGCUGCAAAAGAAGUUGGAGAGUUAUACAAAGAAGUUGAAAGAUUACGAAGUUCAUGGCGCUCCGACCAGUCACAGGCAGCCUAGAGAAGUUCUUCGUGAUAUGGGACAGGGGCUUAAAAAUGUGGGUGGUAAUAUUAGAGAUGGAAUCACUGGUUUUUCAGGGAGCGUCAUGUCCAAGCCUCGAGAGUUUGCACAUCUUAUAAAAAACAAGUUCGGCAGUGCGGACAACAUAAACACAUUAUCACUUGAAACUAAUGGCUCAACUUUUUAUGUAAACGAUACACCACGUGCAGGUAACGAUGACAACGGUAGCGUUGAAGAAGAGAAGACGCACCAUGGUUCGGCAACACUUCCUGGCGGAUGCAGCCUGGGUUCGACGCAUAGUGCUGCUGCUAUUAAAUUCCCAUCCGAAGAAGGCUCGGAGUGUUCUAGCGUUACCAGCGAAAGCGCUCCCGGCAGCAGAGGGCAGCCCCAUGCUUGCCACAGCAACAGUGCUGCUUUCAGCCUCAAGCCGAUUUUCUCGGAACUUCAGGAAAACAGAGAAAAUUACGAUAGGCUGCGAGAAAAACUCGAAGGAUUCAAGGUUCUUCAGCAAGAAGUGGCAUAUCUGUCGCAUGCACUUCAAGAGGAACGCUUCAGAUGUGAGCGUCUGGAAGAACAAGUUAAUGACCUCACUGAGCUUCAUCAGAACGAGAUUGAGAACUUAAAACAAACAAUAACUGAUAUGGAAGAAAAGGUUCAGUAUCAGAGCGAAGACCGGUUGCGGGAUAUUCACGAGAUGUUGGAAAGUUGUCAGACGAAAAUUUGGAAGAUGGAACACCAGCAACAACAGCACCAACAGUACGUCACACUCGAGGGGCUUGACAACAGCAAUGCACGAGCUUUGGUUGUCAAAUUGAUAAACGUUGUUCUUACAGUCCUACAAGUUGUCUUACUUCUUGUUGCAACAGGUGCUGGCAUAAUGAUGCCAUUCCUGAGGACCAGCUGUACUAAGCCUCAUUGUUUCAUGUGCAGGGUGCGCAUACUGACUACGACGCUCGUCGUCCUCGGAAUUGUAUUCGUACUAAAGCAGUGGCCAGAAGUCCACGACGUUGGUAGUCAUCUAAUGCGACGCCUCAAACAAACCUUAGCAGUAAAGUAGCAUUGGUUACACGCUCAAUAUAAAUCACCAGCACCCUCCACUGUUGAAUUGAAGAAGGAACACGUACCUCGCUCUACUUCACGUCGGUUCAAUCAGCAGUUAUCUGUAUUCCAUCGUGGGACCCCCUGACCACAAUCUCAGUCGAUAUAAUUUCCAUGACUUGGUCAGACACCUCCUCCUUCUG